ensembl:snRNA snRNA:U4:39B small nuclear RNA U4 at 39B
AUCUUUGCGCAGUGGCAAUACCGUAACCAAUGAAGUCCUCCUGAGGUGCGGUUAUUGCUAGUUGAAAACUUUAACCAAUACCCCGCCAUGGGGACGUGAAAUACCGUCCACUACGGCAAUUUUUGGAAGCCCGAGAGGGCUAA